AUACUCACCUGGCAGGGGAGCCAUCAUGAUCAUGAAGGUGGUUUUCCCAGAGUGAGGCUAAUGGACUCUGGAUGUGCUCUCCCCUGAAAUUUCCCCAAAUGUGGGAAAUUCAACUGCACAGUUUGAGGUAGUCAGGGACUGUGUUCAUGCUUUCCCCCA
ensembl:snRNA U1 U1 spliceosomal RNA